rnacentral:lncRNA from 1 species
UCCGAGUUCACUAUCUCUCUCUCUCACCAAUCCCUUUUCCCUCUUCCCGAUCUACAAACAUCCAAAUCGAGACAAAUGAUGACGGCACCACCACGCCUACCGUGUUAGGUCUCUCUCUCUCUUAUCCUCUGUGAAGCACAGAGAACCCAGGAAGCUUAUCCGGCAAGUCCUGUGGAUUUCGAGCCAAACUCUAGCCAGCUCUGGUCGCCACACUGCGUGUUUUAGGUAUGAAUCUCUUUAUCUCAUCCUAAACUUCAAUUUGGUAGUUAGAUUGGGGUUGAGUAAUGGAGUCGAUCAGAGCUCGGGAAACUCCAAUCUUCUCCCUUGUUGAAAUCGAGUCAUACCUGACCCAAGGUCCUAAGACCCAUAUCGAAACCUAACCCAAACCUAAAGCCUUGGGUAGGGCUACCAGGGCCAAACCCUUUAACCCAAAACCCUUGGCCCAACCCAGCUAAAUCGGCCUAAUCCCAGAACCUAGGCCGCGCGUAGGCACGCGUGGGUGCCCACCAGUGCCAGCUUGUGGAGCACAUGCGCCUCCACCAGAGGCAUUGUGCUCCAUCGUUCACAGUGGCGCCGACGACUUUUUGGCCAACUUUCCGGCGACUUAUCUCGGCGCAUGGCCGCCACCUUGCGGCGGCGCAUGGGGGUACCCGAGGUCCCCCUUAUGUUUUUCGACUUCCUAAAUCAAUUUAUGACGUUCAUUUUUCAAAAUUCAAUCGUUAUGGUAGAGUUUUAUUAUGUGCUUAGGUGCGUUUAUUAACGGCAUUUUCGUCCUCUUUAAUUCGCACGGCUCUUCAACGACGGAGUAUCCAUGAAUGGACCCCUUCUAAAAUGCAUGAUUUUACUAUUAGAAAUGCAUACAUGAGAAGCAUGAUUUAAUGGUUACGUUUUAUGAAACGUUUAUGAAUAAAUUGGUUUCACGCUUUAUGAAUUAUCAUGCUUUAUCAACUUUACGUUCUUCGUAGUAUAUAUGAUUAAUGACUAUACACUAUGAACAUGAUUUAAGAUAUGAUGGUUGAGCUACUGAGCUCCAUUGAGAUAUAUAUACUUAUAUUUUGGAAAUAUUAUGUUCAAUGAUUUUUGUGCUUAUCUAGUGGUCACUAUAUGCAUUCGGGUGGGUGCUGUAGGAGUUUACGGGCGAUUGAUACUUAUAUAUGUCUUCGGGUAGGUGUUGUAGGAGCUACAUGUGAAUAAAUUGUUCUAAAUGAAGAGUUCUAUAUGCCUUCGUGCGAUACUGAUACCAUUAUUUAGCACACUUAUUAUGAUAUCUGUUUUAUGAAAGGUUUUAUGGCAUGUUAGGUUUUUUGGAAAACCUAUUACAUAAACUUUGGGGGUUAGUACGUUGAUGAAUAACUGUUUUAGUAUUACAUAUAUCAACUUGGUCCACUCAUAUUUUGUUUUAUGCCCCCUCAGGUUAUUGGAAUGAUGCAUACGAUCCAAGCUACGAGGCAUUCCUUUACUAGUGAUAUCGUGCCAUCCCCUCUGCUUUUGACAUCACUUGUAAUAGCACUUUCUGUCACACCUUCCACUUGUAUUCUGAAUUAGAUAUAUGCUCUGAACAUGUCAUGCAUUAUCACUAUCAUUUUAUUGACGAAUGAAUAUUAUAUUAUUUUUGGUAAGUUUUGUAUUAGAAUAUUACAUUAUGUAGUUCACGCGAAAUUUAUAUUCAUGUUUCACAUGUUCUCGGCAUAUGCAUUCACAAAAUGGCUUGCGUCACCCUCAGGUGUUGGGCAGCACAUGGUCAUCCCGUUGUCCCUUGGACAUCGGGAUUGGGGCAUGUCAUAAAGGACGGAAGCUCAUAUAUAGAAUUUACACACAUUUGGUAGACAUACUACAUGUCCAAGUUUAAAAUUGCUAGCUAAGAUAGGGAUUCUUGUCAAAUUUUGUCCAUUACUAUAUUAAUUGGUGGGUUGUUAUCACAAAUAGUCCCUAAGAUUGAUCAAAUUCAUCAUUUUGGUCCCUGACUUUCAAUACCACACAUCAAUUUAAUCAUUCCAUUAAAGUUUUGUCAACAUUUUUUGUCUCACUAAUCCAAUCAUAUGGCGCUGCAUAGAUUAACUAUAAGAAAGUUUUUUUUUUAAUUUAAAGCUAAAAGUAAAAUAAGAAACUAAAAACCAAAACUAAAAGAAGAAAAAAAGUCAUCGUCGUCUUCAUUAGGGAUGCUCAAAAGGAAAAGGAAGACAUCAUGACACCACUAAAGUACUUGGCCUCUGAACUCACUCCUCAAUCUCUCCAGUUGGUUAUAAUUCUAAAUACUAUCAAAUUUGAAUUGAAUUUAGAUUAAUUUUUUUUCCAAUUAGGGUUGUGGGAUGCGAGAAAAAUGCCAGUGCAGAAUCUCUUCUUUUGGUUCACUCUUAAAAAAAUAGUUUCUUAUAGUUAAUCCAUAUUGAGUCAUAUAAUUGGAUUAGUGGGACCACAUUAAUGGAGGGAAUAAAUUGAUACGUGGUAGUGAAAGUUAGGGACCAAAUUUAUCGAUUUUUGAAACUAAAGGAUCAAAAUGAGGAGUUGGAUCAAUGUCAAUGACUAGUUGCGAUAAAAACUCUUAUUUUGUGUAAUCCAUGUGUCACCAUUUGAUUGGAUUUGUGGGUCUCACAUACAAACUAACAAAAUAGUUAACAGAAUCUUAAUGGAAUGACCAAAUUGAUGUGAGGCAUUGAAUUUCAGGGACGAUAUUGAUGGAUUUUGAAAAUGAGAGACCAAAAUGAUGAGUUUAGUCAAUCUCAGGGACCAUUUGUGAUAAAAACCCUUAAUUGUUAGUUGAAUAUGUUGGUGAAUAAGUCUCGUUUCGCCCACCCACGUGCAUAGACCAAACCCUAAUUUGUAACCACCAUUCCAACUCAAAUUUUAUAACCUAAAUUACCUAAUUAAUUUGAUUCCAUGGGCUUAUUAUACGUUAUAGUUGCUCUCACUGAUGGUGUACUACUACUGCUCUGUUUUUCUGGAACUCCAUAGCGUAUGCAUCUCCUUCUCUCUCUCUCUCUCUCUCUCUCUCUCUCUCUCUCUCUCUAUAUAUAUAUAUAUAUAUAUCUUCAUCUUCAACAUGAUUGAAAUAAAUUAAAUAUGUAAAGAAUCAACAUUAAACAACCACGUUUCACAUCAUGAAAUGCAUGAAAGGGAAAACCAACCCUUAAAAGGGUUAAUUAACCAAAAAAAAAGUAUUGCAUGUACAAAGUUGAAUGAAAACUUCAUUAGCAAAAAGCAAAGUUUAGGGUUUAGGGUCGGUAGUGUCAAUUUAACAUACAAAGCUUUGAUAAUUGGUGAGGGCCUAUCGUUGUGCAGUAGUUAGUACUGAAAUUCUCGAGUCAUUGAAGUACUGCCAGUAAAUAAAAAUCUACUACACUGGGAAAAAAAAGUUUCAAAAGCUACAAGUACUUGUGAGAAUGUGAGGACAAAGUUUCAUCGGUGAGUGACAUACAUAAGUUUAUAAGGAGUUAGGUUACUCUUAUAUUACUAAUUAGUUUUAUAAUAGAAUUUCAACUUUCUUCAAAAUGAGUAGCAAUUGAAUAAUAUUUUGCAUGUUGACAGUAGAGAAGAAGACAAAAAGAUUGUUGUACGCAGAAAAAAUGAACAACUCGGGUUGUGCAAAAGCCAAAUUUCUCAGUACUCAUGAAGUACAGUAAUUAGAAAUUUACUACACUGAGAAAGAAGUCAUAAGCACUACAGAGGAAGCAGCGCGAUUGAAUAAACUUGGGGCAUUUAGACUUAAGGAACUAAAGAAGAUUAUUUUUUCAUUAUAACCGGGAUGCUUUUAUAAAUCUAGUUUUAGUCUCUAACUUUAAAAUUCAUUAUCAAUCAUAUUAAAUACCCCUGCCCACUUUAUUAUUUUCAAUUUUUUUCUUCCUAAAAUACCUAAUUUAAUCAUCAAUAAGGCCUUAAAAAUAGAAAUUUUUAUUUCUACAUAUCAAAUUUAGUAAUUUAAAAUGAAAGACUUUUUAAUAUGCAGACACAAUAAACAAUAUACAUUAUAAAGGUACAUGAAUAUAUACAUAUAGGUGCAUAUCGUAUACUUAGGUUCAUAUGUAUAGGUACACAAAUGUACAUAUAGGUGCAUAUAUAUAGGUAACAUAUAUACAUGGGUUCAUGACACAUCCCGACCCGGAAUGUCCACUAGGACUCCGAAUCGAGUUGUGCUGGCUUCGUCACAUGUGACCCACUGGGAAGUUCUAUUGUGAGUUCCCAAAAACAAA